AGGAGAGUUUGAUUCUGGCUCAGGAUGAACGCUGGCGGCGUGCUUAACACAUGCAAGUCGAACGGAGAUAGCGGAGAGCUUGCUCUCUUCUAUCUUAGUGGCGGACGGGUGAGUAACGCGUGGGUAACCUACCCUGUACAGGGGGAUAGCAGUUGGAAACGACUGAUAAAACCGCAUAAAACGGCAGUACCGCAUGGUACAACCGUCAAAUAUUCAUAGGUACAGGAUGGGCCCGCGUCUGAUUAGCUAGUUGGUGGGGCAACGGCCUACCAAGGCGACGAUCAGUAGCCGGCCUGAGAGGGUGAACGGCCACAUUGGGACUGAGACACGGCCCAAACUCCUACGGGAGGCAGCAGUGGGGAAUAUUGGACAAUGGGGGAAACCCUGAUCCAGCGACGCCGCGUGAGUGAAGAAGUAUUUCGGUAUGUAAAGCUCUAUCAGCAGGGAAGAUGAUGACGGUACCUGACUAAGAAGCACCGGCUAAAUACGUGCCAGCAGCCGCGGUAAUACGUAUGGUGCAAGCGUUAUCCGGAUUUACUGGGUGUAAAGGGAGCGUAGGCGGCUAUGCAAGUCAGAUGUGAAAGCCCGGGGCUCAACCCCGGGACUGCAUUUGAAACUGCGUAGCUUGAGUGCAGGAGAGGCAGGCGGAAUUCCUAGUGUAGCGGUGAAAUGCGUAGAUAUUAGGAAGAACACCGGUGGCGAAGGCGGCCUGCUGGACUGAGACUGACGCUGAGGCUCGAAAGCGUGGGGAGCAAACAGGAUUAGAUACCCUGGUAGUCCCCU
rnacentral:rRNA from 1 species